CUCAACCACUGAGCCACAUCCCCAGCCCUAUUUUAUAUUUUAUUUAGGGACAGAUUCUCACUGAUUUACUUAGUGCCUCCCUUUUGCUGAGGCUGACUUUGAACUCGCGAUCUUCCUGCCUCACCCUCCCAAACUGUUGGGCUUAUAGGCGUGUGCCACCAUGCCGAGCCUUACUGAGUUCUUAUUCAAAACAAAUGAGUAGUCAAGCAGGGUGGUGAUCUGGUGAUCUCCUGUGAUCUCAGCACCUUGGGGAGUUGAGGCAGGAGAAUUACAAGUUCAAUGCCAACCUCUUUGUGAGACCCUGUCUCAAAAUUAAAAAAAUAAAAAAGGCUAGAAAUGUACCUCAAUGAUAAAGCACCCCUGGGUUCAAUCCCCAACACCAAAAAAUAAACAAACAGAUAAAUAAAAGUCAAAGCAAACAAGAGGGCUUGGGAUGUAUUUCAGUGAUAGAGCACUUACCUAGCAUGCUUUGGGCCCUGGGUUUUGUUGCCUGCACCAGGAAAACAACAAAUCAAGGCCGAGUUUGGUGGUACACCUUUAGUCCCAAGUACAGAGGAGCAGAAUAAUCAUUUGAGCCCAGGAAUUAAAUACCAGCAGGGAUAACGUCUUGGGAUACUCCCUAUCACACAAAUCAAAGCAAACACUCAUGAAAACAUAAACGAACCCUGGGCUUAGCAAUGCCUUGGAAAACUGUCAAGUGUGAUUGAGGGUGAGGAUGUGUCACUCUGGAAUAGUUAUUGUGGUUAGAGUGCUGGCUGCCUCUUUGGCCUGCCAGAUCCUGACUUUGUUUUCUGUAUUUGCAGCACAACAAGGAGCUAACCAAAGAGAGAGAUGCCCUCAGGCUGGAGUUGUACAAGAACAAGUAGGAAGGGGAAGGAGAAUGGGCAGUCCAGGACUUUAGUGAGAUUGUGGGGGAGGGGGUGGGAGGUGAACAUGGGGAGGAGGUUUUAUAGGCUUGGAUGUGUCCAAAGCCAAACUGUAGUCCCAGCCUCUGCUUCAUUCCUGGGGCAGCCUCAGGCAACUCGUAUCUUCUCUGUGGUCUGUCACCUGUGACUCCUGAUUCCUGGAGUCCCUUCUAAUGCCAUGGUUCUGUGGUUGUGUGGCAAGGGCAAUGGGUUGGUCACCGAAAUUUCUCUUCCUGUUCUUGGUGCAUUCCUUACUGUGCUACCUCUGAUUACAGCAUAAAUAACGAGGACCUGAAGCAGCAGAACUCAGAAUUGGAAGAGAAGCUCCGUGUGGUGCUGGCAGAGAAAGCAGCUAUGCAGCUGGGGGCGGAGGAGCUCCAAAAGAAGCUGGAGAUGUCUGAGCUGCUGCUGCAACAAGUGAGGCAGCAGCCCCAGCAGCCCGAGCACUGGCUCCGUGCGGUUGUCAGGGUGGCCUCCAGCCAAGAGCUGGAAAAUUUGGGUUCUUAUCUGGUCCUGCCAUAGAAUCUUCCAGAGAUGGUUAAAAUCCACAAAUGGGAGCCCUGCCCAGACCUGUGGAAUCAGAAUCUCAAUGAUAUGGCUUUUUAAAUUUUUGUUUUUAAAUCAUCUUGGUUGAACACCAUCAUGUUGUAGAUUUCCUCUAUGUGGUUACCCAGUAGUCUGUUCCCUCUCCUGGGGGUUCAGCCAGCACUUUUAUUAUGUGGUAAUGACCCUGAGUCGUACACUGAUCUAGUUCACACCCUGUGGAGGCAUCAUGUGGAACACCUGGGCUCCCCAGAUCUAAACUUCUCACUUUCCCCACUUCAGUUCUCUA
rnacentral:lncRNA from 1 species